CCUACGGGAGGCAGCAGUGGGGAAUUUUGGACAAUGGGCGCAAGCCUGAUCCAGCCAUGCCGCGUGCGGGAAGAAGGCCUUCGGGUUGUAAACCGCUUUUGUCAGGGAAGAAAUCCUUUGAGUUAAUACCUCGGAGGGAUGACGGUACCUGAAGAAUAAGCACCGGCUAACUACGUGCCAGCAGCCGCGGUAAUACGUAGGGUGCGAGCGUUUAAUCGGAAUUACUGGGCGUAAAGCGUGCGCAGGCGGUCUUGCAAGACAGAUGUGAAAUCCCCGGGCUCAACCUGGGAACUGCAUUUGUGACUGCAAGGCUAGAGUACGGUAGAGGGGGAUGGAAUUCCGCGUGUAGCAGUGAAAUGCGUAGAUAUGCGGAGGAACACCGAUGGCGAAGGCAAUCCCCUGGACCUGUACUGACGCUCAUGCACGAAAGCGUGGGGAGCAAACAGGAUUAGAUACCCUGGUAGUCCACGCCCUAAACGAUGUCAACUGUUAGUGGACGGUCUUGCUUGUUCGUAGUAACGUAACGACGUACGACGUAGUAAGUUAGUACCGCCGUCGGGAGGUAACGGUCCGGCCGAGGUUAGUAAACGUUACGAAAGUAGAAGUUAGGUUACGGCGUUGGAGACGUUGCCGACGGACGACGACGAGGGAGGAGG
rnacentral:rRNA from 1 species